rnacentral:rRNA from 1 species
GUGGAACUAGCAUAUCAAUAAGCGGAGGAAAAGAAACCAACAGGGAUUGCCUCAGUAACGGCGAGUGAAGCGGCAACAGCUCAAAUUUGAAAUCUGGUCCUUUCAGGGCCCGAGUUGUAAUUUGUAGAAGAUGCUUCGAGCGUGGCACCGGUCUAAGUUCCUUGGAACAGGACGUCAUAGAGGGUGAGAAUCCCGUAUGCGACUGGCCGCCUUCGUUCAUGUGAAGCUCUUUCGACGAGUCGAGUUGUUUGGGAAUGCAGCUCAAAAUGGGUGGUAUAUUUCAUCUAAAGCUAAAUAUUGGCCAGAGACCGAUAGCGCACAAGUAGAGUGAUCGAAAGAUGAAAAGCACUUUGGAAAGAGAGUUAAACAGUACGUGAAAUUGUUGAAAGGGAAGCGCUUGCAACCAGACUUGCACGCUGCCGAUCAUCUGGGGUUCUCUCCAGUGCACUCGGUUGCGUUCAGGCCAGCAUCGGUUUGGGUGGUUGGAUAAAGGCCUUGGGAAUGUAGCUUCUUUCGGGGAGUGUUAUAGCCCUCGGUGCAAUGCAGCCUACCCGGACCGAGGACCGCGCUUCGGCUAGGAUGCUGGCGUAAUGGUUGUAAGCGACCCGUCUUGAAACACGGACCAAGGAGUCUAACAUCUAUGCGAGUGUUUGGGUGUCAAACCCAUACGCGUAAUUAACGUGAACGGAGGUAAGAACCCUUAAGGGUGCAUUAUCGACCGAUCCUGAUGUCUUCGGAUGGAUUUGAGUAAGAGCAUAGCUGUUGGGACCCGAAAGAUGGUGAACUAUGCCUGAAUAGGGUGAAGCCAGAGGAAACUCUGGUGGAGGCUCGCAGCGGUUCUGACGUGCAAAUCGAUCGUCAAAUUUGGGUAUAGGGGCGAAAGACUAAUCGAACCAUCUAGUAGCUG